rnacentral:rRNA from 1 species
UACGGGGGGGGCAAGCGUUGUUCGGAAUUACUGGGCGUAAAGGGUUCGUAGGUGGCUUGUUAAGUCAGACGUGAAAUCCCUCGGCUCAACCGGGGAACUGCGUCUGAGACUGAUGAGCUCGAGUGCAGGAGAGGAACGCGGAAUUCCAGGUGUAGCGGUGAAAUGCGUAGAUAUCGAGAGGAACACCUGCGGCGAAGGCGGGUUGCUGGGCUGAUACUGACGCUGAUGCGCGAAAGCGUGGGGAGCGAACAGG